rnacentral:rRNA from 1 species
AGAAGGUAGGACGCCAGUCUUACUGGAGCCAUUGUUGGGAUACCACCCUUGCGGUAUUGGGUUUCUAACCUGCGGCCAUGACCUGGCCGGGGGACAAUGUCAGGUGGGGAGUUUGACUGGGGCGGUCGCCUCCGAAAGGGUAUCGGAGGCGCUCAAAGGUUCCCUCAGAAUGGACGGAAACCAUUCGAAGAGUGCAAAGGCAUAAGGGAGCUUGACUGCGACACCGACGGGUGGAGCAGGUACGAAAGUAGGACUUAGUGAUCCGGUGGUAUAAAGUGGGAUUGCCAUCGCUCAACGGAUAAAAGCUACCCUGGGGAUAACAGGCUUAUCACUCCCAAGAGUUCACAUCGACGGAGUGGUUUGGCACCUCGAUGUCGGCUCAUCGCAUCCUGGGGCUGAAGUAGGUCCCAAGGGUUGGGCUGUUCGCCCAUUAAAGCGGUACGCGAGCUGGGUUCAGAACGUCGUGAGACAGUUCGGUCCCUAUCCGGCGUGGGCGUAGGAUAUUUGAGAGGAGCUGUCCUUAGUACGAGAGGACCGGGAUGGACUGACCUCUGGUGUACCGGUUGGGUAUCAAACCCAUGGCCGGGUAGCCAAGUCGGGAAGGGAUAAACGCUGAAGGCAUCUAAGCGUGAAGCCCCCCUCAAGAUGAGAUAUCCCAUCGCAAGAGUAAGACCCCUUGAAGACGACGAGGUAGAUAG